CCUGGCUCAGAUUGAACGCUGGCGGCAUGGCUAAAACAUGCAAGUCGAACGAUCCCUUCGGGGAGAGUGGCGAAAGGGCGAGGAAUAGAAUCGAACGUACCCCAAGGUGGGGGAUAGCUUCUGGAAACGGAAGGUAAUACCCCAUGUGCUCUACGGAGGAAAGGUUUACCGCCUCGGGAGCGGCGAUUCUCCUAUCAGGUAGUUGGUGAGGUAACGGCUCACCAAGCCGAAGACGGGUAGCGGGUGUGAGAGCAUGACCCGCCGCAUCGGGACUGAGACACUGCCCGGACUCCUACGGGAGGCUGCAGUAACGAAUCUUCCGCAAUGCGCGAAAGCGUGACGGAGCAAUGCCGCGUGUGGGAUGAAGCGGUUACGCCGUGUAAACCACUGUCAGGACUUAGGAAGAACUGACCGAGUCCAAAGGAAGGGCCGGCUAAUCUCGUGCCAGCAGCCGCGGUAAUACGAGAGGCCCGAGCGUUAGGCGGAAUCACUGGGCUUAAAGGGUGCGUAGGCGGAUCAGUAAG
rnacentral:rRNA from 18 species